rnacentral:lncRNA from 1 species
CAAAACUAGACAGAAUCAUUCCCACAAACUGCGUUGUGAUGUGUUCGUUCAACUCACAGAGUUUAACCUUUCUUUUCAUAGAGCAGUUAGGAAACACUCUGUUUGUAAAGUCUGUAAGUGGAUAUUCUGACAUCUUGUGGCCUUCGUUGGAAACGGGAUUUCUUCAUAUUCUGCUAGACAGAAGAAUUCUCAGUAACUUCCUUGUGUUGUGUGUAUUCAACUCACAGAGUUGAACGAUCCUUUACACAGAGCAGACUUGAAACACUCUUUUUGUGGAAUUUGCAAAUGGAGAUUUCAGCCGCUUUGAGGUCAAUGGUAG